AUGGCAUUGAUUGUCUAUGUGCAGAUGUCAUCAGAUAGUGAUAGUGAUGAUGACAAUAGUUAUGAAACAAUGAGGAAUUUGGUUAUGCAUCAACAACAUAAUAUGGACAUGCUUUGUUCUGGUGUGGCGGUCAUAUUUGGCAAGUAUUGUGAAAGUUGGGUGAUGAAGACCGAGCCUAGGAAAUCUAUUUUGAGUGGAUUUGGAUGGCUUCAAGAGACUAUUGCUACACCGGGAGAGACCUACACAAUGUUGAGAAUGACGGCAAGUGUGCUCUUUGAUCUUCAUGACUUGUUGGUACGUAAUUAUGGUCUAAAAGAGACAAGCUUUGUUAGCACUUACGAGUCUCUUGCUAUGUUCUUGUGGACAUUGGGAGGUUGUGAGUCAAAUUGA
rnacentral:rRNA from 1 species